CUGGACCAAGAUUGCCCUCAUGGAUUCUCUAGCAGUCUAACCCUCUUGACAGCUUGCCUAAACAGGGAGCAGUGCAGAAUACUAACAGAUGGCAGUAGCUGUAGCGUGGGACCUUAACAGUCACUGUGUGCUUUGUCCAGCAAUGUCCUUGUGUCCUGGAUGCGUCCCCUGGCUGCAGCUGCCACAUGAUGAUUGCUCUAAACUCUCUACCUGUUCAACUACUGACUGCCUGUGGAAUUGGGGAGCUAUUGUCUUAAUCUGCAUAGGACUUUGAACCUAACUGAAUCCUCCGACUUGAUUAUUAUCAUGAUUUUAUUGCUGUUGCUAUACUAUGUUAUUAGUCUGGUUAUAGUGCUCCGGUUUUCUUGCCAGGGCCAUUGCAGAAGCUGUGCAAUGAGUAGAUUGUAAGGCAAGAUUUCUGGAGGG